CGAUACAUUCUUCGUAAAGAUUGCUUCAUGAGAGGCAAAGAUAGGAAGAGAGAUUCCAAAGGGAGCAAAGGCGGGAACAUGAGCGCAUGAAGUUUUUGCAGAAGCAAUCUAGACGAGCAGAGAAACAAAGACAAAAGGAGGAAUUCAGAAAAGAGAAAGAGAUGACGAGGCAGAAGGCUGCUAAUGAAAGGGCCACAUCACGAAGAAUUGCACGGGAGUAUAUGGAGCUUGUGGAAGAUGAGCGCUUGGAGCUAAUGGAAUUGGCUGCGCAAAGCAAAGGGUUACCCUCAAUGCUUUGUCUUGAUAGUGACACAUUGCAGCAGGUGGAGUCAUUCCGAGUGUGCAUGUGUUGCGAGCAGUGAUCAGCAUAGCUGAUUCAUCACUGCUGGUCCUUUUGGUGCGACUAUGGCUGGACUAUUGAUCUUCAUGAUGAAGAAAUGGCCAUAGCCAUGGGGAUCUUCCUGUUGCAGGCUUCAUGUGCGUAUAUGUGACUAUUUGCUUAUGAUGAACUUGAGGACAGUCGUUAAGGUAUUCAUGGUGGAGGGAAAGGUUGAUGUUGUUCUUGGUCCUAUUUGUAAGUUUCUCACACUACUCUUUUUAUUAACGCAUGAUUCCUUACGAAAUGGUAACACUAUCUCUAUUAUAAACUGAACACUAAUGAGAAUUGUACUUAAUACUUCUGUGAGGACCACUUUUCUCAGCAGUUUCCUUAUAAUGUUUUCCUUCAUUUCCAAUGGACUGGUGAGAUGCAACCUGCAUGGAAUUCAAGGAAGAAGGGCAUUUCGAACGAAGAAAUCAGAUGGUUAGAACACUGUUUAUUUCCCUUUGCCCUUUGCAUAGUAGCGAGUACUCUGUAGUUUACCCAUUUCAAAAAUACUUAUUCAAAU